rnacentral:lncRNA from 1 species
CUUUUUCUUAGGUGGAGGCUUCAUCUGGGAGAGGCAGGAUUGAGCCAACAGACCAGGCAGCCUGCGGAGUCUAAUGGGUCGCCUCCAUCAGGUCAUCCAUCCUGGGUGACAGGCUCACUGGUCCUUCACAGCCAGGGCCAGCCAUUGGCAAGGAGCUAUGGGGAUCUGCGAGGCUGCAUCCUGUCCCUGGCGUCCCAGCUCACCUGCUGGCCCUGGGGGGCCUCCAGAGGGCUCAGGAGAGCAGGCCACAUGUACUUUUAUAGUAAAUAGUAAACUGUUCAAUUUACUUGCUUUAAAGACAAGUAAUGGCUCUGGAGGCAGAGGCUUAAGGAUCAAGUUCAAAGCCAUCUUCAGCAACAGCCAAACAACUCAGCUAGGAUUUACCUCUAAAUAAAAUACAAAAUGGAGCUGGGGAUGUGUCUCUGUGCCCCUGAGUUCAAUCCCCAGAGACAAGUAAAAAGCAGGAAAAUCCAAAAUGACAGCCAAAUACUGAAAUUCUGGUAAACAGAAAUAAAACUUGAAGUCAUCAAGCUGCAUAUGGUUUGCUCUGCCUCCAGCAAAUUGGGAGCUUUUGGAAGCAGGAACAUCACAGAUUCCAGGUCAAGGAAGCAACUAAAAGAGAACCUGACUCAAAAUUAAAAUAUUAAGAGGGGGUGGGUGGGGACAGAGCCCAAUAGAGUGCCCCAGUUCAAUCCCCAGUCUACUGCCCUGACCCUCAAAAAACCUUACAGUAAUGGAGAUACUGUAGCUCUGGAGAAA